AACUUUCAACAAUGGAUCUCUUGGUUCCGGCAUCGAUGAAGAACGCAGCGAAAUGCGAUAAGUAAUGUGAAUUGCAGAAUUCCGUGAAUCAUCGAAUCUUUGAACGCACAUUGCGCCCUCUGGUAUUCCGGAGGGCAUGCCUGUCCGAGCGUCAUUGCUGUACCUCAAGCCCGGCUUGUGUGUUGGGCCUACCGUCCUGUUUGGAUGGUGGCCCGAAAGGCAGUGGCGGCGUCGCGUCCCGGUCCUUGAAGCGUAUGGGGUUUUGUCACCCGCUUGGAGGCCGGCCGAUGCCGUAGCCCAUCGUGGAUCUUCCACAUUUAUUUCUGAUGGACCUCGGAUCAGGUAGGGAUACCCGCUGAACUUAAGCAUAUCAAUAAGCGGAGGCU
rnacentral:misc_RNA from 1 species